CCCAGAUAGCAGUCAGUUCUGGGCCGAUUCUGGCUUUUUUCCGCCAGUGUCGGCUGAAAGCCGGACAGAUUUUUAGUGUAUGCGCCAGAACUGGCCCAGAUGAGGAAAUAGUAUACCAGUAGUAAACACUAUUUAUAGCUGUUGGCCCGAGUGUAAGCAUACUCAGCUGAAGUCCGGGUCUACUAAAGUAGCGUCUCAGUGUAAUCGGGCCAAAUCUGGCAUUGUGUAGUCGGACCGACUACGUUGCAUUGUGCCUGGACCGAUUAUGGUUUGAUAUGAUACUGCCAAGAUGUGUAUGAUGUCAGAAAUUCAGUAUGUGGCCCGAUACCAGUGGAACUGACACAUGCCGGUUGUAACGCUGUUUGGCGGCAAUUUAAAAAUGUUUAUGCUUCAGACGGACAGUAUACAGUACACGGCCCGAUUCCGUGAUGCGGCAAUCAGCCCUCUAGCUGUUGAACGGCAACAUCACCACUGCUGUUAUGAUUUGAAUCAAGCAGAGCACAAAGCUGAGCUCCCGUUCGACACAGACACCAUCAUCAAUAACUGGUUAACUGGUUGGGGCUUAUUGGCGGGACAGAUGUACGAGACUGCACAUGGCAUAUAUUGAAGAGGGCGACCGACAACUCCCUGGCUUAAAACCUCAACUGGAUGGAAAAGACUUUAUUUGCCACCCUCUAACUCAGAGAGGUAGUGAUUGAUGCAGUUCGGAGAAGGUCCCUUACAGUUGUGGAGGGGACAAGGAAGAGGUGGCUCGAUCGAGAGGGUGGGUGCAAGAGAC